rnacentral:rRNA from 1 species
AACGAACGCUGGCGGCAGGCUUAACACAUGCAAGUCGAGCGCCCCGCAAGGGGAGCGGCAGACGGGUGAGUAACGCGUGGGAACGUACCCUUUGCUACGGAAUAGCUCCGGGAAACUGGAACUAAUACCGUAUGUGCCCUACGGGGGAAAGAUUUAUCGGCAAAGGAUCGGCCCGCGUUGGAUUAGCUAGUUGGUGGGGUAAUGGCCUACCAAGGCGACGAUCCAUAGCUGGUCUGAGAGGAUGAUCAGCCACAUUGGGACGGAGACACGGCCCAAACUCCUACGGGAGGCAGCAGUGGGGAAUAUUGGACAAUGGGCGCAAGCCUGAUCCAGCCAUGCCGCGUGAGUGAUGAAGGCCUUAGGGUUGUAAAGCUCUUUCACCGAUGAAGAUAAUGACGGUAGUCGGAGAAGAAGCCCCGGCUAACUUCGUGCCAGCAGCCGCGGUAAAAC